GUGCCAGACGAGCCCGCUCCCCUGCGCUGCCGCAGUUCCCCCGUGUCGCAUUAUGCCGCAGCGGCAACUGUCGGUAACCUGGCCGAGAGGAAGGCCUAGGUGUGGCGUUGAUGGUAGAGGGAUUUGGCGGCGCACCUCUCGUCCAUGCUUGCCAAUGAGGAUUCGUGGUACUGACGCCGGUGAAGGUUGAUCAAGGAGGAGAGUAAUAGUGAAGCAGAUCAAAUUUACAAAAUAUGUUGCAUCAUUGGCACUCCAAAUCAUUAUAAGGACUCCAGCUUGCAGCAUCUAUCCAUUUUCAGUUUCCUCGGGACUGUAGGUAACUGUUUCAUCUGU